UUCAGACAAUCAACAACAAUUUACCCUGCAAAACUUAAUUCAAAUGUCACACGCAGCAGCAGUAGAAGUUCCAGAAUAAAUCAAAAAAGGAUCGCAUAUUAAAUGCAUGUUCAAUGUGCUAAACAACUUGAAAUUUACAAUUCCCCUGGGUACCGAGCGGAGUGGAGUGUGGCGCCUGUAAAUUGGAAAGCAAAAAUGACGCAGCCACGCACAAGGCAACAUCUACAGCAGCAACAGCAGCAGCAGAAACAAAAAGAGAAAAAACAACAACAGCAACAACAACAACAACAAGAACAAAUGCAACAAAAUAUACAACAACUUAAACAAGAACAAAAACUGCAAUUAGAGUCAACUACAAAGGGCCGGCAACGAUACAGAGUGGUGGCAAUAGAGGCAGCAGCAGUGCCAGUAGAGCAAAAAUGAAGCAAAAACCAAAGGAAGAAGAAACGAAAAAUUUUCCACACAAAUUUGCAUUCAACCAAAGAAAUACAAAAGUCUAAAACAAAGGGAAAAAGGAAGCCAAGCACAUACAAACACACACACACACACACACACACGCACUGACAGCACGGACGACGGGAUAUUGUACAAAAAGGAAGUUGUGCGCCAUCCAACAAAAACAAAAACAAAAAAAAAAGGGGUCAGAGGGCAAGGCAGACACACAGCAGCAGCAGCAGCA